UGGCUCAGUGGUUGAGACACCAGGCUGAUAUCCUGAGGGUCGCAGGUUCGA
rnacentral:tRNA from 1 species